GACGAACGCUGGCGGCGUGCUUAACACAUGCAAGUCGAACGUGAUUUUUGUGGAAAUUCUUUCGGGAAUGGAAAUGAAAUGAAAGUGGCGAACGGGUGAGUAACACGUGAGCAACCUACCUUACACAGGGGGAUAGCCGUUGGAAACGACGAUUAAUACCGCAUGAGACCACAGAAUCGCAUGAUAUAGGGGUCAAAGAUUUAUCGGUGUAAGAAGGGCUCGCGUCUGAUUAGCUAGUUGGAAGGGUAAAGGCCUACCAAGGCGACGAUCAGUAGCCGGUCUGAGAGGAUGAACGGCCACAUUGGAACUGAGACACGGUCCAAACUCCUACGGGAGGCAGCAGUGGGGAAUAUUGCACAAUGGGGGGAACCCUGAUGCAGCGACGCCGCGUGAGCGAAGAAGGUUUUCGAAUCGUAAAGCUCUGUCCUAUGAGAAGAUAAUGACGGUAUCAUAGGAGGAAGCCCCGGCUAAAUACGUGCCAGCAGCCGCGGUAAUACGUAUGGGGCGAGCGUUGUCCGGAAUUAUUGGGCGUAAAGGGUACGUAGGCGGUUUUUUAAGUCAGGUGUGAAAGCGUGAGGCUUAACCUCUUAAGCACUUGAACUGGAAGACUUGAGUGAAGGAGAGGAAAGUGGAAUUCCUAGUGUAUCGGUUAAAGGCGUAUAUUUUAAUGAGGAAUACCGGUGGCGAAGGCGACAUUCUGGACUUUUACUGAUGUGUCUGGUACGAAGCGUGUGUGACAAAUAUGAUAGAUACGCUUGUAAUCGCGAGGGCGAAAUCCACAAUUUAGUUGUUGUUGAUCGUGCGCGUGUACUGUUAGUGGUGAAAUAAAAAUGCAAAGUGAUUUUUCUGUAUGUGAUGGGUGUUGAUUCUGUGCCGUGUGUCCUUGUAUUAUGGCAGAGUUAUGGUGUAAUAUGAUGAUGUUUGUGUGUGGUGUGUUUGCUAGUUGAUAUGUGUGGUUGUUGUUGUGAUAUGUUAUCUCUGCAGUGUGUGUGUGUUGUUUUGUUUACAUUGUGUGUGUAAGGUGUGCUGUGCUGUUA
rnacentral:rRNA from 1 species